rnacentral:rRNA from 1 species
CAAUAGCGUAUAUUAAAGUUGUUGCAGUUAGAACGCUCGUAGUCGGAUUUCGGGGCGGUCCGACCGGUCUGCCGAUGGGUACGCACUGGUCGGAGCGUCCUUCCUGCCGGAGACCGUGCCUACUCUUAACUGAGCGGGUGCGGGAGACGGCACUUUUACUUUGAAAAAUCAGAGUGUUUCAAGCAGGCAGCUCGCUCUUGCAUGGAUUAGCAUGGGAUAAUGAAAUAGGACUUUGGUGCUAUUUUGUUGGUUUCGAACACCGAAGUAAUGAUGAGAAGGGACAGUCAGGGGCACUCGUAUUCCGCCGAGAGAGGUGAAAUUCUCAGACCAGCGGAAGACGAACCACUGCGAAAGCAUUUGCCAGGGAUGUUUUCACUGAUCAAGAACGAAAGUGAGGGGAUCGAAGAUGAUCAGAUACCGU